AUCAGUUUCGCGCAUAACUCCGGGGUAAUGUGGAAAAUCAGGGUUUUGGUUUUGGGUGGGUUUGGGUUGGUGGUGUGGUUUUGGUUUUUUUUGGCGGGGGCGGGAGGCUGCCCCAGUGCGCGCUCGGUCCCGCUCGUGCGGGGAGCGGGCAGCGCCGCCGCCCGCGGUGGUGUCGGGCCCGGCGCGGAGCAGAGCGCGGUGUCCGCGGGGCCGCCGCCGGCGCCGCGCAGGGUCGGAGGCAACCGCCUGCCCCGACCCUCCUCCGCCCGCUUCGGCCUUAUAUUUAAUACAUGCCCUUUCAUCUAUUAUUCAGGCUGCUCUGACUCCAGCUCUGUCUCGCCUCCCAUUUACGCCUGCACACCUUUCUCCUUCCCCUUCCCGAAGGGUCAGCCGAGACACUCGCCGAGGGAGGGAGAGAGCUGCUCUGCUGGUUUGGGUCUUGUCUGCUUAAACAUUGAACUGGAAAAGAUUCCUCCUCUCUGUGGUUUGAUAAAUAAUAAAAGUGAUCGUUUCGCCUUCCCCAUAAAUGACACAGAUGCAGGCUCCAACCCUUAGACUCCCAUAUGUGUCUGCAUGUAGGAUGCACUGUUAACUGAUGGUGGAAGCUACUUGUACCUGUUAGAGGUAAUCAUACAUUAUUAACCUCAUGGAAGGGGCAGGUCUUCAAGCCGUAUUAUUUGCACACCGAAUUGUAAAAUUGAGGCCCAGAGUACCAAAGAGGCGAGGACUGUCACAACUGCUUCUAAUAAUGAGAAAAAAAGAAUGGAAAGGGCUGAGUUCCUGAGAAGGAGUUGGAAUCGCCCAGUGUAGCAUUAACGCCACCUCUGAAAUGUGAGAAAUUGCUCUGAAAUAUGUCCAGUGUUCUCUUGAGUAGCCAUUUUUAUCCUCCAGUAGAUGUUUAUUCCCUCACUCUUACAUUUGAGAAAACUGCAGUAUUUGAUGUUGCACUCUCCUCCAAUGCAGCUCUGUGCCGUUAUUUAUAUUGUUUCUUAAUAGUCGCCUUUCUUUACGCUGAUGUAUUAGCCUUUUGUCUAUAUAUAAGAACACUGGACUCGUAAUCACAUCCCAGCCUAUUAAAAUGACUUGCGUAUUGUAGCAUAUUAACUAUUCAUCCACAUCAUCGCUUGUUAUCUUUGGCUCCGUAUUAUUAUGUAUCAAAUUCUUUUCCAUACCAUUUUUGACUCAAAUUCUAGCAUGCUAGAAACUGACUCCAAUUAUUCUGUACUAGCUAUAGUCAAAUUGCACUAAAUGGAAUUGCUUGCAUUGUAUCAUAGUGGCUAUGGGCUCACACAAUGCAUUAUACAUGAAACUGAUUCACAUUAUGCUUUGCUAACUAAAGACUUUAAUCUUGAAGUGUUGAGCAUAUAAUGCUAUCAUUCUUCACUGAACUGGCUCUGGUCACUUGAUCAUUUUGUACCUGGGAUUGCCUCUUACAGGCUGUUAUUAUUAAAGCAAAAUGGCUUUUCCUCUUC